GGUGAUGUAGCUUAGUUGGUAGAGUGCUUGCCUGACAUAUAGGAAGCCCUGGGUUCAAAUCCCCAGCCCA
rnacentral:tRNA from 1 species